UACGUAGGUGACAAGCGUUGUCCGGAUUUACUGGGCGUAAAGAGCGCGCAGGCGGUCGUUCAAGUCGAGUGUGAAAGCCCCCGGCUCAACUGGGGAGGGUCACUCGAUACUGAUCGACUCGAAGGCAGGAGAGGGAAGUGGAAUUCCCGGUGUAGUGGUGAAAUGCGUAGAUAUCGGGAGGAACACCAGUGGCGAAGGCGACUUCCUGGCCUGUUCUUGACGCUGAGGCGCGAAAGCUAGGGGAG
rnacentral:rRNA from 1 species